GGAUCGUUAACCGCUUAUUAAGGAAUGUAUUCUAUAAAAAUACAUAUCCAGCGAGCUGGAUUGGAGCGGAUCUCCCGCUCCGUUUGACGCCUCCCUGUUAAACCACUUCAGAGCCGCCUAAUGCGCGGCUCUUUUUUU
rnacentral:sRNA from 1 species